UACGGAGGGUGCGAGCGUUAUCCGGAAUUACUGGGUUUAAAGGGUGCGUAGGCGGCUAUGGAAGUCAGGAGUGAAAGUUUGCGGCUCAACCGUAAAAUUGCUUUUGAUACUGCAUGGCUGGAAUCAGGAUGAGGUCAGCGGAAUGUGGCAUGUAGCGGUGAAAUGCAUAGAUAUGCCAUAGAACACCAAUUGCGAAGGCAGCUGGCUAGACCUGUAUUGACGCUGAGGCACGAAAGCGUGGGGAGCGAACAGG
rnacentral:rRNA from 1 species